rnacentral:tRNA from 1 species
UAUUGAGUAGUUUAAUUUUUAAAACCAAGUUUUGAAAAAGCUUUGAUAUUAUUUAUAAUCUUAAUAU